GCAAGUCGAGCGAACAGAAGGGAGCUUGCUCCCGGAUGUUAGCGGCGGACGGGUGAGUAACACGUGGGUAACCUGCCUGUAAGACUGGGAUAACUCCGGGAAACCGGAGCUAAUACCGGAURGUUCCUUGAACCGCAUGGUUCAAGGAUGAAAGACGGUUUCGGCUGUCACUUACAGAUGGACCCGCGGCGCAUUAGCUAGUUGGUGGGGUAAUGGCUCACCAAGGCGACGAUGCGUAGCCGACCUGAGAGGGUGAUCGGCCACACUGGGACUGAGACACGGCCCAGACUCCUACGGGAGGCAGCAGUAGGGAAUCUUCCGCAAUGGACGAAAGUCUGACGGAGCAACGCCGCGUGAGUGAUGAAGGUUUUCGGAUCGUAAAGCUCUGUUGUUAGGGAAGAACAAGUGCGAGAGUAACUGCUCGCACCUUGACGGUACCUAACCAGAAAGCCACGGCUAACUACGUGCCAGCAGCCGCGGUAAUACGUAGGUGGCAAGCGUUGUCCGGAAUUAUUGGGCGUAAAGGGCUCGCAGGCGGUUUCUUAAGUCUGAUGUGAAAGCCCCCGGCUCAACCGGGGAGGGUCAUUGGAAACUGGGAAACUUGAGUGCAGAAGAGGAGAGUGGAAUUCCACGUGUAGCGGUGAAAUGCGUAGAGAUGUGGAGGAACACCAGUGGCGAAGGCGACUCUCUGGUCUGUAACUGACGCUGAGGAGCGAAAGCGUGGGGAGCGAACAGGAUUAGAUACCCUGGUAGUCCACGCCGUAAACGAUGAGUGCUAAGUGUUAGGGGGUUUCCGCCCCUUAGUGCUGCAGCUAACGCAUUAAGCACUCCGCCUGGGGAGUACGGUCGCAAGACUGAAACUCAAAGGAAUUGACGGGGGCCCGCACAAGCGGUGGAGCAUGUGGUUUAAUUCGAAGCAACGCGAAGAACCUUACCAGGUCUUGACAUCCUCUGACAACCCUAGAGAUAGGGCUUUCCCUUCGGGGACAGAGUGACAGGUGGUGCAUGGUUGUCGUCAGCUCGUGUCGUGAGAUGUUGGGUUAAGUCCCGCAACGAGCGCAACCCUUGAUCUUAGUUGCCAGCAUUUAGUUGGGCACUCUAAGGUGACUGCCGGUGACAAACCGGAGGAA
rnacentral:rRNA from 1 species